rnacentral:lncRNA from 1 species
AUGCCUGAGUUGGACAAAUCCCAUCCAGCUCCAAAGAAAGGUUCCAAGAAGGCUAUCACCACAGCACAAAAGAAAAAGGGAAAGAAGCACAAGUACAGCCACAAGGAUAGCUACUCCAUCUCUGUGUAUAAAGUGCUGAAGCAGAUGUACCCUACCACUGGCAUAUCGUCGAAGUCCAUGGGCAUCAUGGACCUGUUUAUCAAUUACAUCUUCAAGAGCAUUGCAAACAAAGCUUCUUGUCUGGUACAUUAAAACCAGGGGUCUACAAUCACAUCACUGGAGAUCCAGAUAGCAGUAAGCCCGGAAAACUGGCUAAGCACACCGUGUCUGAGGACAACAAGGCUGUCACCAAGUAUGCCAGC